CCUACGGGAGGCAGCAGUGGGGAAUAUUGCACAAUGGGGGAAACCCUGAUGCAGCAACGCCGCGUGAAGGAAGACGGUUUUCGGAUUGUAAACCUCUGUUCUUAGUGAAGCAUAAUGACGGUAGCUAACGAGCAAGCGACGGCUAACUAAGUGCCAGAAGCCUCGGUAAUACGUAGGAGGCAAGCGUUGUCCGGAAUUACUGGGUGUAAAGGGAGCGCAGGCGGGAAGCCAAGUCAGCUGUGAAAACUACGGGCUUAACUUGUAGACUGCAGUUGAAACUGGUCUUCUUGAGUGAAGGAGAGGUUGGCGGAAUUCGGGGUGUAGCGGUGAAAUGCGUAGAUAUUCGGAGGAACACCGGUGGCGAAGGCGGCCAACUGGGCUUUAACUGACGCUGAGGCACGAAAGUGUGGGGAGCGAACAGGAUUAGAUACCCGUGUAGUC
rnacentral:rRNA from 1 species